rnacentral:sRNA from 1 species
UUCCAGGCCCCAGGAGUUGAAGCCUGCUCUUUAUCUGGCAAAUAGAGCCCACUGUGAAAGGCUCCCCACAGUAUCUUUGCAGUUCCCAGUGCCCCUCAGCCCUGACCUGGAGAGACCUCCUCUAGGGACAAGAGGAUAGUUCAGUCUCCAGGACCCAUUCAACCCUCAUCUGCU